AAAUAUAAGGAGAAUUGAAGGACUUAUCACUCCAGACAUCAUCAGUGACACCGGUUACUGAAAGCGAACCCGUAACUCUUGAAUAAGUCAUCGUUGUAUCCGAAUAUCUGCAGCACUUUAUCUUCCUGAAAGACAAAAAAGAAAAAUGAAGUUGUUUGUUGCAUUGAUAUUAACUGGUAUAGCCGUCAUUGUUCAAGAUUGUCUUGGAGUAACGUAAGUAGAUUUAUGUUAAAACUUCAAUAUUUAUGGUUUGGCAAGUGUCCAUAAGAAUUCUAUGACGUGACUUAAGUGAAAUGUUUUACAUAACAUAUCUACUAAAGCAUCGAUGCCAUAUAACUAUACAAUUGUAUAACGAGAAUAUUGUGUGGAUGCUAAAGGACAAAUAUGUCCCCUGAAUUAAAUAGAAUGGUCUAAUCUAACGGGUUUUCUUAAGAUCAGGGCUGACCUUACACCUAAAUUCCUCAAAAAGGUUAAAUCGUCUCGGUUGGAACACUUUUGCACAUAUCUUUUUUUAAGCAUUCUCAAUCAAUGCAUUGAAUUUUCUUUAAAUAUUAGAGGCAACGCUGGUAAAAUUUCAUUAUACUUUUGAGAGACAGUUGCACAGUUAUAAGUAAUUUGAAAAAUUUUUUACUGUUUCCGUUCCUGAGGUGAGAACUUCUGAAAUGGAAUAUUCUCAAUAUCUGACAAUAAUUCUAAUGCAUUUUCUGUUUUCUUCUGUUUCUUGUGUAUAUAAUUUGGAAUAACAAUUUCGAGAAUUUUUCGAGACUUUUUUAUUGGGAAUCUUUUCAACAACUGAACAGGUUAGCAGUUAAAAGAUCAACAACUGCUACUACUACUACUACUACUUAGUAUCUAUAUUGUUGUAAGUUCGCCAUUUUGAUUCUCAAAUCGGCGAUGCGUUGUGUUCUUCGG